UGGGGAAUUUUGGACAAUGGGCGCAAGCCUGAUCCAGCCAUGCCGCGUGAGUGAAGAAGGCCUUCGGGUUGUAAAGCUCUUUCGGACGGGAAGAAAUGGCGGGCUCUAACAUAGCCUGUCGAUGACGGUACCGUAAGAAGAAGCACCGGCUAACUACGUGCCAGCAGCCGCGGUAAUACGUAGGGUGCGAGCGUUAAUCGGAAUUCCUGGGCGUAAAGCGUGCGUAGGCGGUUUUCUAAGUUCGGUGUGAAAUCUCCCGGCUUAACCGGGAGGGUGCGCCGAAGACUGGGAAGCUGGAGUGUGGGAAAGGCAGGCGGAAUUCCUGGUGUAGCGGUGAAAUGCGUAGAUAUCAGGAGGAACACCGGCGGUGUAGACGGCUUGCUAGACCAUAACUGACGCUGAGGCACGAAAGCGUGGGUAGCAAACA
rnacentral:rRNA from 1 species